GCCAGUGUGGUGCAAAUGGUAGACACGGUAGUCUUAGGAACUACUAACUUGUAGGUUCGAAUCCUAUCACUGGCA
rnacentral:tRNA from 1 species